rnacentral:rRNA from 1 species
GUCAGUGAUUUUGUUGUUGAGGGUACACCUGUUCCCAUUCCGAACACAGUAGUUAAGCUCAACUAUGCCGACAAUACUUGGUGGGAAGCUGCCCGGGAAGAUAGGUCGUCGCUGACU